UCCGGUUGAUCCUGCCGGACCUGACUGCUAUCGGGAUGAGGCUAAGCCAUGGAAGUCGACGUGCGCCCUUGCGCACGUGGCGUACGGCUCAGUAACGCGUGGCUAACCUGCCCUCGUGACGGGGAUAACCUCGGGAAACUGAGGAUAAUCUCCGAUAGGCGAGCGGCUUUGGAAGAACCGCUCACCGAAAGGGACGGAGGAAAUGGCCUUCGUCCGCGCGAGGAUGGGGCUGCGUCCCAUCAGGCAGUUGGUGGGGUAAUGGCCCACCAAACCUAUAACGGGUACGGGCCGUGAGAGCGGGAGCCCGGAGAUGGGCACUGAGACAAGGGCCCAGGCUCUACGGAGCGCACCAAGCGCGAAACCUUCGCAAUGCGGGAAACCGUGACGGGGCCAUCCCGAGUGCAGGCUGCUGAGGUCUGCUUUUGCCCAGUGUAAGAAGCUGGGCGAAUAAGUGGGGGGCAAGACUGGUGUCAGCCGCCGCGGUAAUACCAGCUCCACGAGUGGUCAGGACGGUUAUUGGGCCUAAAGCGUCCGUAGCCGGCCCGGUAAGUUUAUGGUGAAAUCCGGCAUCUCAAGUGUCGGAGCGCUGUAAAUACUGCCGGGCUAGGGAGCGGGAGAGGCCGAGGGUACCUCCGGGGUAGGGGCGAAAUCCUAUAAUCCCGGAGUGACGACCAGUGGCGAAAGCGCUCGGCUAGAACGCGUCCGACGGUGAGGGACGAAAGCUGGGGUAGCAAACCGGAUUAGAUACCCGGGUAGUCCCAGCCGUAAACUAUGCGGGCUAGUUGUCGGAACGGCUUAGGGCCGCUCCGGUAACGCAGGGAAGCCAUUAAGCCCGCCGCCUGGGGAGUACGACCGCAAGGUUGAAACUUAAAGGAAUUGGCGGGGGAGCACCACAAGGGGUGAAGCUUGCGGCUCAAUUGGAGUCAACGCCGGG
rnacentral:rRNA from 1 species